rnacentral:rRNA from 1 species
CAGCAGCCGCGGUAAUACGUAGGGUGCGAGCGUUAAUCGGAAUUACUGGGCGUAAAGCGGGCGCAGACGGUUACUUAAGCAGGAUGUGAAAUCCCCGGGCUCAACCUGGGAACUGCGUUCUGAACUGGGUGACUAGAGUGUGUCAGAGGGAGGUAGAAUUCCACGUGUAGCAGUGAAAUGCGUAGAGAUGUGGAGGAAUACCGAUGGCGAAGGCAGCCUCCUGGGGUAACACUGACGUUCAUGCCCGAAAGCGUGGGUAGCAAACAGGAUUAGAUACCCGAGUAGUCCCUGUCUCUUAUAC